rnacentral:RNase_P_RNA from 2 species
GGAGAAGAUCAGAUGAUCGCGGGCAGAAUUUAUCUGCUGGAGGAAAGUCCGAGCUCCACAGGGCAGGAUGGUCGCUAACGGCGACUGGGGGCGACCCUAAGGAAAGUGCCACAGAAAAAAUACCGCCCCGUGCAUACGGGGUAAGGGUGAAAAGGCGAGGUAAGAGCUCACCGCUUUCCUGGUGACAGGAAAGGCAUGGUAAACCCCAUCCGGAGCAAGACCAAAUAGGAGAACGUUAAGGGCUGCCCGUCCGAUGUUCUCGGGUAGUGUCGCUAGAGACGGAGGGCAACCGCCGUCCCAGAUGAAUGAUCAUCACCGCGUGCAGGGUAACCUAAGCGUGGGACAGGACUCGGCUUAUGAUCUUCUCCCGUG